rnacentral:rRNA from 1 species
GACAGAGGAUGCAAGCGUUAUCCGGAAUGAUUGGGCGUAAAGCGUCUGUAGGUGGCUUUUCAAGUCCGCCGUCAAAUCCCAGGGCUCAACCCUGGACAGGCGGUGGAAACUACCAAGCUGGAGUACGGUAGGGGCAGAGGGAAUUUCCGGUGGAGCGGUGAAAUGCAUUGAGAUCGGAAAGAACACCAGUGGCGAAAGCGGCUUCCUGGUCCAGCACCGACGUUCAGGCACGAAAGCGUGGGGAGCAAACAGG